CCAUCAAGCAACAAACAAGAGUUCUUGAGUUUAUCAACCAAUGUAUGUGCUCUAUCCCGUGCCUCUUCCAACGUGUUGAUGUUUUGAAACAGACCCAAACCCAUGCCAUAAUAGAGUAGGUCUUCAACACAAGAGAAGAACGUGUACCCUAUUAGCAAAAAUGUUUUCUUCAGUUCCUCUCCGUUUAAAUGAUUGUAACUUAGCUCUAUACUUUUGUACGCCACCUGCGUUGUUCCAGUGAAGUUUCUCAAGGAAGGCCUUCUAAAUUCCAGCAAAGCAUCCUUCCAUUCAGACAAUCUCUUAUUUCUCAAUGCCCUUGCUACGGGUACAAUGGCAAUGGGCAAACCAGCACAUUCCUUGACUAGCUCUGUUGCUACAGAUUUCAGUUCACCAUUUUCUAUGCAAUCACCUGUCAUCUUUUUGAAAAGACUCCAAGCUUCUUUUUCGUUCAGAACAUCAACAAAAAAAUUAUGUUGACAAUCCAUCUUACAGGAUAACACAUCGUGACUUCUUGCUGUCAGCAGAACUUUACAUCCGCCGUUGUCAUCUGCCAAUGGAAUUCCAAUCGCCUCCAAAUCAAGACUCCCCCAAAUAUCAUCCAAGAUUAUAAGGAUCUUCGUCUCUUUCUUCAAUCGUUCAAGCAGCCUCCCUGCUCUUACAGUUUCAUGACUCUGUUCAGCCAAUUCUAAGCCUAUCUUCUCAGCGAUUUCUCCUUGUAUGUUCUUUAUUUGCCGUGUUUGGGAAACACGUGAAGAAAUGAACUUCUCAAAGAGAUUAUUUUCCUUGGCCUGUCUGCCAACUUCUUCCACCAGCGUGGUCUUUCCAAUGCCACCCAUCCCGUACACUCCAAUCGGCCUAUGACCAUCGGCAAUACAUUUUUCAAUUUAUCACACCCUUCCACCCUUAUGGUCUUUAAUUUGCAAAAAGACUCUGCUGUGAGUGGACCACGACAUAUUUCCUCAAGGUUCCUUAAAUCUCUUAGAAAUAAUGACUCCAAAAGGGGGAAUGCAGUCGUCCGAGCUGGCAUACAAUCCAUUGUGUCAACAACACAAGAAAGGUUGCCAUUAUGUUCGAUUUGGAGACCCUUCAGUUUUGGAAAGCCUUCUCUGUCUGAUCCAAAAAGAACAUUCUUCAUGUCGAUCAAUCCAUCUAGAGACAGGCCUUCAAUACCCUUCAAUUGCAUGAUAUGCCCCUCGUUCAAGCAAAUGUUGGCACCAUUUGUGAGCCCCAGUUUGAAUAUUCUAGAAAUCCCAUCCGAUGGGGGAACCACAAUAAACUGCGACAACUGUCCUAUAGAUAUCCUGUACCUUUGCAGCAUUUUGAAGAACGACAAGUCUCUUGAUAGAGUCUUUUCAUCGCCGAUGAGUAUUUCUAAAGAGGUCAAUUUAGAUAAAUUAUUCAACUCAUCAAGGCUGGCAUUUCUUCUUUCACCGUCUACUCCUUCAACUUUCCCCCACUCAAUGGGACUCUCACCAAUAUAUAGUUCUUCUAAUCGUGAUAAGCUUGAUAUCACAUUUUGGGGAAUAACUCUCAGUCGGUAACAUAGGCGCAAAUUCAACAACCUCAAUUGAGUCAGCUGGCCUAUCUCUCCAGCCAGUUCCUCCAUAUCAGAACCUCGAAGCGCAAGGAUGACUAAUUUCUUUAGGUCUCCGAUAAUGGCCAUGUCUCCUAGUUCACAAUCAUCUAGAGACAAUGUUUGAAGGUUUUGCAAGCGACCAAGCGAUGAAGGCAAUGCCAACAAAUGCAUCUUAGUGAAAUCUAAAACUCUAAGCUCUGUCAUCCCAGUAAAAAAUUUAUCUGGGAUCCUCAAAGAAGCAUGACAGCCAAUACAAAGGAAUUUAAGUUGCGGGCAUUCGAACCCUUGAGGAGGCUCACUAAUAUUACUAUUCUUUAAGGAGAUUGCGGUGCAAACCUUCAGUGUAUCCUUAUCUGGCCAGCUGGUCAGCGGAACAACCUCAUUUUCCACCGCAAACACAUGUUGGUCUCUUGAUGCAAUUGAUCUGGCUACAUCACGAACAACAUCAUGCAUUGAAAACCAUUCACUUGAACGGCCAUCAAGCAACAAACAAGAGUUCUUGAGUUUAUCAACCAAUGUAUGUGCUCUAUCCCGUGCCUCUUCCAACGUGUUGAUGUUUUGAAACAGACCCAAACCCAUGCCAUAAUAGAGUAGGUCUUCAACACAAGAGAAGAACGUGUACCCUAUUAGCAAAAAUGUUUUCUUCAGUUCCUCUCCGUUUAAAUGAUUGUAACUUAGCUCUAUACUUUUGUACGCCACCUGCGUUGUUCCAGUGAAGUUUCUCAAGGAAGGCCUUCUAAAUUCCAGCAAAGCAUCCUUCCAUUCAGACAAUCUCUUAUUUCUCAAUGCCCUUGCUACGGGUACAAUGGCAAUGGGCAAACCAGCACAUUCCUUGACUAGCUCUGUUGCUACAGAUUUCAGUUCACCAUUUUCUAUGCAAUCACCUGUCAUCUUUUUG
rnacentral:lncRNA from 1 species